ACGACCAUACCUGCAGUAGAAUACGGGAUCCCGUCCGCUCUCCCAUAGUCAAGCCUGCAAGGGGCGGAUUAGUAGUUGGGUCGGUGACGACCAGCGAAUCCCCGCUGUUGUAUGUC
rnacentral:rRNA from 4 species